GCCCCACCCAAGUUGUUUGGGUUUAAGAAGUAAAAAUGAUUUUAAGGACGCACGCCAGCAUUUUGAAAAGUUUCGGUUUCAAACACAUGAAAAGAAAAGUCUGAAGGGAUUCCUAGAACUGUAUUGCAGCUUGCAGCAUGUUCCUCUCCAUGUAGAGUGACCUUAGCCUGUCUGCGUACCAGGGGAGCAAUCUCCAUCUGUUGAACACUUGUCACAUGAACCAGUGACCUACACCGAUGUAACACCCUACAACACCUGCGAGCUGCUCAACCGUGGCCGCCCUGGCCGCCGAGAGACAUGGAGCAAGAAGCACCCGCGACAGCUUGGAAGAAACUGGGUCACUUUUUUUUAUAUACCUUAAAGACAAAAUACGAAGCAAAAAUCCUCCUGGUAGCUGUGAAGCUGGAAGCAAUUUUGAGCCUUUUUUAAGCAGAAAGGCUGCUCUUGCUUAGUUCACAGAAAUUAACACUGAAACAUUAGCCUGUCAUCCACUGAGUGCUUUAACCGCCGAGAAGAAGGCACCUGGACUCAAAAGAUCGAAGCUCUGCUCGCUUCUCUCAAGUUGGAUAUUCUGCUGUUUCUGGUGUGUCUUCAACAUGUAGAAGCAGCAGAAUUUGUCUCAGGGAACAGAGGCAUCGCCACGGGAAGGGGACAGAUGGUGCGUGUUCGUGAGACCCAGCUACGGAUUGAUGCUCCUAAGGAGAGCUGCUCCUGCAAGGUGGGAGCACUUUUAAAUGAGCCGGUGGCACAGAAAGUUGGGGAAGGAAGGAGCGCCUCGGGUGAGUGAUCUUCUGUGGGGUUUCAGACCUGGGACUCCUCUCCACGUGAAACUGCCGAGGUCAGCUCUUUGGAAGUUGGGCGCUGGAAAUGUCCCCAGGAGGGCUGGGCUCCAGUGGGAUGGAAGGGGCUGGGGCUCCCAGGUGGCUGUCUCCAACCCUUGCACAGGCUGUUCCAUGGGUAUUUCCUAAUACUUUCUUCACUUUCAUUUGUUUUAUUUCACUUCAAAGUUGUCUUUGAAAAGAAGAGCCUGAACCGGUUGUGUGCUCGCUGACUGCUUGCAAUCCUGAGGCCUUUUUUUGUCUCCAGAAGCCACCUCACCUGCCUGGGGGCACCAAGGUGGGGCAAGCGCUGGAAGGCCGGCUCUCCAGGACACAGCCUGGUGUUAAACUAGCUUAUUGUUUCCCAAAAUGGUAUUUUUCCCACCUGUUUUUUAUUUUACAUGUUUGAAAAUUGCAUUUUUUUUCACACAAAUUUCUGCCAAAAGGCUUAGUAACUCACCUCAGCCUGUGGCCAGCACCAGUCUUUUGAUGCAAAAGUGCAAACGUUGGUUUAGAUAAGUUACGUGUUUUGCAUGGGGAAGAUGUUUUCCUAACCCACACCGGUUGUAUGACAUUCUCUGAUUCGUGAGAACCCCUAAACCUCUCAGAAAUCUUCUGUUUCAUUUCCAGGCUUUAUUAUGGUAAGUUGAGAUGUUUUUUAUUUGUGGCAUUAUUGUUCCUAGUGUGAUUGUUUUUGCAAUUAGAAAAUAAUACAGAUGAAAUGAUAGUUAUAGUUUUGAGUUUUCCAGGUUGCAGAAGGUGUGCAUCUAUAUUUUUCUUUCAAAUUUUGCACUUUAAAAGAUUUUUUUUAAAAAAAAAAAUCAGAACGUAGCUGAAGUAUUUCUUUAUCCCCGAUCCCCGUAGGCUGUCUGCAGCUAGUCUAGGCUGAGGAUGAGGUUGGAAAGAAUACUUCUAUGCUCCUGGAAUAUAAAUUAACUGCUAACUUCUCCAAGUUAAAAUGGUGAUACUAUGUUUUAUCUUCUAAGAACAAGCAGCGAUAUCAAUUAAAGUGUCACAAGUAAACCCGGAAUUGUUGUGAAGUAGCAUCUGAUUUCCUAGAAUCAUCUGAAAGGUAUGCGUUCAGAUCUCAGAAGCCUCUCCUUAACCCCUGUUCCACAAAUAGCCUUAUGCUGGGACGAAGCAGAGACAAGUACACAAUAGAACUUAAAUAUCUGUUUAAUAGGAACGGCUGAGGGGUGUGUGCUAUAUCUUCUCAUAGCAACCAUAGGCCACAUUUCAGAGGUGGAGGCUGAAUGGAUCAAAUGCAAUGGUUUCCAUGGUUGCACAGGGUUUCAUGUACCCAAUAACAUUAAUAUUCUGGUCCUUAAUAGAAUAACUUGUACAAAGGCAUUUUUUCCCCUCUUUAUUUCCUAUCUUAAAUUAUUAUUCUACAGAUGAUUGAAUGGAAUUAGAACAUGAAAGCUAUAUUUAAUCUUAAAAUGUUGUUGAGAUUUUUUUUAGCAUGGCCUCAAGCCUUUAGUACUUAUGCGAGCAACAUUUCAGGUGCCUCCUGAGUCAACACUGUAGGAUUUGGCUGGUGAAAUAAUGAUUUUUUUCUCUUACCAGCUUGCUAAUAUCAUUUAUCUUAACAGAAGCUUGAUUGCCAUUUCUUGUCUGGCAAAGUCAGGUAUAUUGAUGAUGGCUGACUGUUUUUGGAAGAAGACAGUGUGAGGCUGAGAGCUUACAGGUGGGAUCUCAGUUGUGAUAAUGUGACUUACAUUUUAAGCCCAGUAAGUUGUGCUGGAUCAAUGAAAAAUCCUUUUUAAGGGAAUGCCUCCUUUUGUGUUUUAUUACCAAGUUGGAGGUGAUUAUUGUUCUUGCCUUUGUUAUUAUCUAGGCUUCUCGCAGGCUCUUCUCUGCUGGAAAUUGUCCACUACCUCAUUUUUUAUGUCCUUCUGAAAAAAAUCGCAGUUCUUAAUUUUGGUAGCUAUUAUGAAAACAGCACUCCAGAAUUACACCUUAGCCAACAGUCAUAGCAAAGUCCCCAGUAAACAGCGUGCCUGGAUAGUUCCACUUGACCAGGACUUUCAUACAACUUAAAACCACAAAUGCUUGGGCUUUAUGAGGGAUUCCUUUUAAAGUGCCAAUAGUUUGCAGGUGCUGCCCUAGUUCUGGGAUAAGCCAUGGCUGAAUGAGGGGCAGUAUUACGCGGAAAGCUUGCUGUGGGGAAGAGGCAUUGUGUAACUCUCCAGCUGAUUUGCUGGAGAAAGAAGUAUUUUGGCAGUCCUAGUUGACAUUUCCAGUCUCAGUGGGUAUACCUAGCCCUACUCAAGCAGGGGGCAUAAGCAUCCAUCCCAGAACCAUAGAAUAAAAUAUGCAGAGGUCUUAAGAGAGCUCUUCAGAAAAA